UACAGAGGGUGCAAGCGUUAAUCGGAGUUACUGGGCGUAAAGGGCGCGUAGGCGGUAAGUUAAGUGAGAUGUGAAAUCCCUGGGCUUAACCUAGGAACAGCAUUUUAAACUGACGUGCUAGAGUACUGUAGAGGGUAGUGGAAUUUCCGGUGUAGCGGUGAAAUGCGUAGAGAUCGGAAGGAACACCAGUGGCGAAGGCGACUACCUGGACAGAUACUGACGCUGAGGCGCGAGAGCGUGGGGAGCAAAC
rnacentral:rRNA from 1 species